rnacentral:lncRNA from 1 species
CUCUUCCUCUCAUAAACCGCCCUCCUCACUCACUCACCCUCACCAUUGAAAAUUUUCAUUUCUCAUCCAUUCAAGCUAGGAUUUGUCUCUUUGGAACUAGGAACUUGCAAAGAAAUCACUCCUCUUAAGGUAACUCACCUUCUCCAUGCUUUUGUUUAGCUAAAAGUCAUGAUUCCAAGAAUAUUUUAGAGAUUGUCAUGACUUUGUUCUUGAGUAAUUUUUCUAGAAUAAGUUUGGGGUUCUAGGGAAGUGUUUAGGAGNNNNNNNNNNNNNNNNNNNNNNNNNNNNNNNNNNNNNNNNNNNNNNNNNNNNNNNNNNNNAUUAAGAAUUUCAUGAAAUCUUUUGUUAGGGUUUGGAAAAAUUUUGGGUGUGGCUCACAUUUUCAAAACUUUUGGUCAUGUGAAAUUUCGGAAAAGUGUGGGAGAGGUUUCAAAAUUGGUUAGGGCUUUGGGGGAGGCACAAUUGUGGCCUAGGGCGAAUUACCAUGAAAAAAGUUUUGGGUAAAAAUGGUUUUUGUGUUGUUUGUGUGUCAAAGAACCAAAAAUUGAAUUUUUCGUAAUUAGAGGCUUUGCCCGGAAAAUUUUUUGGAGCUUGGAUUAGUGACUCGGGGGUAUUAUGGGAUAUUACCAUGCCCUCGGAAGCGAAAAAUUUUGAGCGGAAGUGCCAUUUCCUUUUUCAAUGGCCGAACCUAAAGGAGUGUGGGGGGGAAAUUUGUGAAAUUUUUCUAAGUCCACAAUUUUGGGAAAAAUGAUCAUGCUUUGAUGAAAUGAUCAUAGGUGGGUCAAAGUAUGAUUAUAGGAUUGUAUUUGGAAAGAAAAACAAGAAACUUGCGACGCAAGAAAAACUCGAUUAUUUUGUCGAGAUAUUUUCGUAAAAUUUUUAGGUUGUUUUCAAGUGUUUUGGUAGUGUAUGAAAGUGUCCUUUGAAGUUUAAAACCAUAGAGAGCAAUGGUAUGCUUUGAAAACGAAAAUGUGUUUGUUUUGUGAAAAAUAGUGUAUUUAACUUCGGGAAUUUUUAAUCACAAUGGGGAGGACUCGAAUAUAAUAUCCGAGAGUGUUAGGAAGUGCCUUAGACGCCUCUAGACCUUUGUUGAUAGGUUUAGUUUCGUUAAGAUAUUUUGGGAGAAAUUUAUGCAUUGUCCGCUCGUUAUUUUUAGGAAACGCGAAACGGUAGAUAGUGUGAAACGUUGUGGUUUUUGGUUGCAAGCAUUGCCGAGGUAAGGGCACCUUUUUAUUUCUGUCAAUAGCAUUAGGGUAUGCUUGUGAUUAUGUUUGUUUUGGUUCCAUGCUUGUGUGCUUGGUUGUUUUCGAUGUUAUUUGUCUUACGUAUAU